GCAUUUGGAACCGGUUUAACUGUUAUCCAGUCAUCACCACGACGGACUUGGAGGCCGGCGACGUCGGUGUCAGGGAGGAGAAGGGUCAUGCCACCAGGAUCAGAGUGGGGAGAGAGUCCAAGUGUUAGGUCAGGCUGGGGACAUUUAGGGUAAAAAUUAACCCUUAAACAUGCACCUCUUUCAUUGUCUCCACCAAAUUUUGUGUGUAGAUAAUUUUCAUUUAAUCCAAGGUUAAUCGACAAGAUAUU